UGGGGAAUUUUGGACAAUGGGCGCAAGCCUGAUCCAGCCAUGCCGCGUGAGUGAAGAAGGCCUUCGGGUUGUAAAGCUCUUUCGGACGGGAAGAAAUGGCGGGCUCUAACAUAGCCUGUCGAUGACGGUACCGUAAGAAGAAGCACCGGCUAACUACGUGCCAGCAGCCGCGGUAAUACGUAGGCAGCAAGCGUUGUUCGGAGUUACUGGGCGUAAAGAGUGCGUAGGCGGUUUUCUAAGUUCGGUGUGAAAUCUCCCGGCUUAACUGGGAGGGUGCGCCGAAGACUGGGAAGCUGGAGUGUGGGAAAGGCCGGCGAAAUUCCUGGUGUAGCGGUGAAAUGCGUAGAUAUCAGGAGCAACACCGGCGGUGUAGACGGCUUGCUAGACCAUAACUGACGCUGAGGCACGAAAGCGUGGGUAGCAAACA
rnacentral:rRNA from 1 species